UACGUAGGUGGCAAGCGUUGUUCGGAAUUAUUGGGCGUAAAGAGCUCGUAGGCGGCUUGUCACGUCGGAUGUGAAAGCCCGGGGCUUAACUCCGGGUCUGCAUUCGAUACGGGCUAGCUAGAGUGUGGUAGGGGAGAUCGGAAUUCCUGGUGUAGCGGUGAAAUGCGCAGAUAUCAGGAGGAACACCGGUGGCGAAGGCGGAUCUCUGGGCCAUUACUGACGCUGAGGAGCGAAAGCGUGGGGAGCGAACAGG
rnacentral:rRNA from 1 species